GAGACAAGAGAACAUACAAAUAAAAUAAAAGGAAUCUCAGAGCUGAGAGUCAUUUGAACACUGCUUGUGAAGAGGUUACAUCUAGAUCAGUUCAGAGAUUGAAUUCUGCCUUGUGAAAUACAAGAAAGCUCAUUUUCAUUUGCAACACUCCAAGAAAACAAUGGCAAACAACACUAGCUACGCUAACGGAAAGACUCAAAAAGAGGACAGUUCACUGGAAAUGAGAGAGCUAACAGAGUCCUUGCCGCACAGUAAAUGCAUCUACAGUUCCAGUACAGCCUAUCAGAAGAGGAAGCAGCUUGGCAAAUACCGCCACCUUGCUAUUGCAAGCAUCUUAUGCGGCUGCUCCUGCAUUGGAAUUGCAGCAUUAAUUCUUGCAGUCAAAGCAGAAGAAAAAUGGAAAUAUGACCCGGAAUCAGCUAUAAAAGAUAGUAGGCGCUCCUGCAAAUAUUCUGUCAUAAGUUUUGUGGCCUUCUUCCUAACCAUGCUUUUGCUGGUUGCCUUUUUUGUACUGGUGUCCUACCUAGUGACACUGACUGAGUGAAUCUGUAAAAGGUGUGCUUCUCAGAUGAAAGAGAGAGAAAUGCAAUGUGGCAUUAACGUGGUGGCAGUGUGGUAUUAACAUGGUGAAAGGCCUGUUCUCUCUUCUUCCCUCAGACUGUUGCAGUACUUAGACUAAACUGUGUCAUGAAGUAUCCAAGGCCUGUUGUCAUGCCUGGUGUCCUCUUGUGGCCUUGUUGGUGUUUUUUUCCUAUGUAAGCGCACCUCAGCUGCAUACAUCAGAUGACCUGAAGUACAGGCCACCCCCGGAGCAUCACUGCCAGCGAAGUUGGACCUCACUCAUGUUCUGUUUCACAGCUUUAAUUUCCUUCAUGGGAAGAGUUGUGUUUGAGGCCUUCAACAGAAGAAACUGGUAGUGCUGGUGUUACUUUGUGUGUACAGCUUGUGUGCAGGAUUUCUCUUCCCCGAUUUGUGUUUUGCUGGUAAAAUAUAUAAAUGUCUCUAAGUGCAAUAUUCAGAAUAUCUACGAUUUUGUGAUGUUACGAACUGUAAUAUUUAUGUAAUAUAACUGUGUGUGUGUGUCUGUGCGCGCGCACUUUUUUCCUGUAAGGACAAAAGAAAUAUGUGACCAAAUCUAGGCAGUUUAUUAGUGCUGUAUUGCUGUUUGUUAACUGGCAUAGGCACAAUAUAAAUUAUAUAAAUUCAAUAAUUUUACAAGAAAAUCAAUGACAUCCAUUUCCAAAACAUAAAGACCUUUUAAAUACUAAAUUCUGCCUGAGGAUGUUUAAAAGUCAGUAAUACAUGAAUAUUUACUGUAGAGUUCUGCUGACUGUUUUAAUUUAUUUCUUAAAUAUAUUCAUUUAUUCAGUUGCAGUAGGUAUACUGUAUAUAUAGCAACAUAUGGAUGCAAGCACAAGUAGUGGGAAAUGAACUGGCUAAGGCUUUAUCUGGGAUAAAAUCCCAGUUUUCCUCCUGUUAUGAUCUUGUUGUGAUGCAGUGAAUGGUAUCAGCUACCGUCUCCCAUGCUCCAUAGUUUAAUGGAUUUCACUUUCCUUUGUCCCUGGCUGAAAAAUCAUGACAUUUGCUUAUGAAAUACAAGCAAAGCAAGCCUUUAUUACACUAAAAGAUGUGCUUGUAAAACUUGGUAAUUGCACUGCUGCCCCAGCCAGGGAAAAGAAGCAUCAGUGUGCCAUGUAUUUGCCUGUCCUAAGGAAAUCUGCCAGCAUCGUGUCAUCUGCCUGUUACGUGUAUUCGCCUGUCCUAAGGAAAUCUGCCAGCACCGUUUCAUCUGCCUGUUGUUACGUGUGGCAGUGGAUAUGGGUGGUGGGAGUCAGACUGGAUAUGGUCUCACACUAGCUAUGAUUUUACAUUUGUUGCAUCUGGAGCUGUCAUGCAUGCAGUGCAUUUCCCAUACUGGCUAAGUCAUACUAGGAUAGUCCCAAACCUAUGAGACCACGCAGGUUUCAUCUCUACAUUACUGGUGCAGUUGGUGGGCUACCAUCCUAGCUGCCAACAGCAUGGGGUCAGAAAUGGACAUAAGUCAGCAGUGACGUACCAUUUAAAGGAGGGUUUCACUUUUCUUGGGGGAGUAACAAAUCGAAGGCUACAUUACAGUAUUGCUGGAAUAUUCCAGGGAAUGAAGACAACAAGCUAAAAUGUACACUGUAGCAGGAAAAUGGUCUGUGGCUGCCCUAUCUGCUUUCCUAGGGGCAUUAUCGCUGUACCUACCCAUCAACCAAGGCCAAGAUUCACUGUUUCAUGUCCAGCUAAGGGGCACUUAUUGCCACAGGAACAGACUAUAAUAUAAUAAGUGGAGGGCAGACAAGAGUCGCAAGGGUCAUCAGUGGUACAAAAGGGAUAGCUAAUUUAAAAAUAUAAUUUUCAUGUAAUAAAAUAGUAGCCUUUAGAUUACAGUGUGAUAGAGUUCACCAAUAAGGUUAGAAACAGUAAUUUCUUUCUUGUCUUGGCUGUAAUAAUGAGAAACCGUGGCACUUGACUGUUACACAUACUUGUUGUAAAGGACCCAAACAGUCUUGCGUUUGGUUCCCUGCUAAUAAGGGCUUAGCUGUAUCUCAUGACAGUAGCUUCAUCUGAUACUUGCAUAUAACAUUGCUAGUAUUCCUAAAGCUGAAUCAUUUAUAUAAUAUUUGUAACUACUAAACUAUAAAUUACUAUGUUGUAAUGCUUUAUACAUUACUUGUAUACCUGAAACAAGUCAUUUUGUUUGUAUAGUACUUGUGGUGAAGACAUAUAUGCAUAUUUAUAAGUACUAUUUUUCUAAUUUAUUUAUAAUAAACUCAUUUUCC